rnacentral:rRNA from 1 species
CCUACGGGAGGCAGCAGUGGGGAAUAUUGCACAAUGGGGGAAACCCUGAUGCAGCGACGCCGCGUGAGUGAAGAAGUAUUUCGGUAUGUAAAGCUCUAUCAGCAGGGAAGCAAAUGACGGUACCUGAUUAAGAAGCCCCGGCUAACUACAUGCCAGCGGCCGCGGGAAUACGUAGGGGGCAAGCGUUAUCCGGAUUUACGGGGUGUAAAGGGAGGUUAUACGGCAGCGCAAGUCUGAAGUGAAAUGCCGGGGCUUAACCCCGGAACUGCUUUGGAAACUGGGCAGCUAGAGUACAGGAGAGGUAAGUGGAAUGCCUAGUGUAGCGGUGAAAUGCGUAGAUAUUAGGAGGAACACCAGUGGCGAAGGCGGCUUACUGGACUGUAACUGACGUUGAGGCUCGAAAGCGUGGGGAGCAAACAGGAUUAGAUACCCUUGUAGUC